GUACUUAUGACGAGUCCCAAAGUAGGACGAAACGGCUGUCCAGUAC
rnacentral:hammerhead_ribozyme from 1 species